UGGGGGAUAUUGCGCAAUGGGGGCAACCCUGACGCAGCAACGCCGCGUGAAGGAUGAAGGUUUUCGGAUUGUAAACUUCUUUAAGUUGGGAAGAUAAUGACGGUACCAACAGAAUAAGCCACGGCUAACUACGUGCCAGCAGCCGCGGUAAUACGUAGGUGGCAAGCGUUGUCCGGAUUUACUGGGUGUAAAGGGCGUGUAGGCGGGCCGGCAAGUCAGAUGUGAAAUACCGAGGCUUAACCUCGGAACUGCAUUUGAAACUGCCGAUCUUGAGUGCCGGAGAGGAAAGCGGAAUUCCUAGUGUAGCGGUGAAAUGCGUAGAUAUUAGGAGGAACACCAGUGGCGAAGGCGGCUUUCUGGACGGUAACUGACGCUGAGGCGCGAAAGUGUGGGGAGCAAACAGG
rnacentral:rRNA from 1 species